rnacentral:lncRNA from 1 species
AGGGGUUUGUUUAUCAAAUAAUCAGGCUUGUUAAAAGGCAUCAUUAAACAAGAUGAUUGGAAUCUGGAAACCAUGAGCAGUGAAGCUGGUCUGAGGUUAUCCGCAUCCUGUUUCUGUUGAAGCCCCACUGCCGACCGACGAUACCCGGCGGUCAGGUCACUCUUUUUCUUUUUCCUGACAAACACACGGGAUCAUGCGCCGCAUGUGAACACGGGUCACAGGGCCUGUCGG